GCAGGUCACAGAGGAAGGCCUGCCAGUCCCAAAGACUGAAACCUCCUUCAGCAGUUCCUUAAAUUAACCGUGUGUCACACAACAGGAGCUGCCUGUAGACUGCAUGGCAAUCCACAUUGCUUCUAUCAUGGUGCACCUGGCAGCUGUGGAAAGCAUCUGGACAUGCACCCCUAAGGUGGGAGGUGAUGCAUCCAAGUGAUGAGCUGUAAGGCUGGGCCCUGGCAGGAUCUGGUGCUCCUCCAUGCUUGGGUUGGCUACUUUGAGUCAGAUAAAGAUUAAGACAUUUCUAUGGAUGAAAGACAUUGAAGUGUUUUUAUUUAUUUGUUUGUUUUGCUUUGUUUUGUUUUGUGGAAAUUCUUUAUAUUAUGUUUAAGUGAAUUUAUUUUGGCAAGUAAAUCCCUACACUUUCUGUAA